rnacentral:rRNA from 1 species
UACGAAGGGGGCUAGCGUUGCUCGGAAUCACUGGGCGUAAAGGGUGCGUAGGCGGGUCUUUAAGUCAGGGGUGAAAUCCUGGAGCUCAACUCCAGCACUGCCUUUGAUACUGAAGAUCUUGAGUUCGGGAGAGGUGAGUGGAACUGCGAGUGUAGAGGUGAAAUUCGUAGAUAUUCGCAAGAACACCAGUGGCGAAGGCGGCUCACUGGCCCGGUACUGACGCUGAGGCACGAAAGCGUGGGGAGCAAACAGG